rnacentral:rRNA from 1 species
AUGUUCCGGACAUCACUCCAUUUACAGGAGGAUAAAAUACUCCUAAUCAUACAAAAGGAUCAGGGAGUUGCUCAUCUCAAACUUAUCCUCUUUACAAUCAAACAUUACAAUGAUCUAACAAUGGUUUAUUCUUCUUAUGUAUGCACACGAGCUUAUACAAAAGGACGCCUCCUUUUGUUUCGAUUGGUGGCUCGGCUCCUGGACGAUAAAGCGUCGUCGUCCGCCCAUCAUCAUCUGCGAACUCAUCUGCGACGCCAUCGCCGAGUGCCCGCACACGCACAGCCGCUAAAGCUCGGCCUGGUUCCCCGACCGGCUGAGCACGACCGUCGGCGGUCGACCCAGUUCCUUGGGCGACAAGGCGCUGCUGCCGGCAAUCCGCCAAAUUCCGCGGGUGUCGAAGCACGACUCAGACCGGCGCACGGCUCCGGCUCCCCGAGCAGUGAAGUACGAUCACCAGCGCUCGCGUCAGCCUCGCCCAUGGCUGCGUCGACCCGCGACUGGACUGCGGCCAGCUGCUCAUCCUCCCUCGUCAGCUUCUCCAGCGUGGUGGCUGUGGCACGCGCGCGGGUCCGCCCGUCGCUCCUCCGGGUGCGCGGUUCUUCGCUCCAUCGCCGUUUGCUGGUCAUGGUUUUCCUUUCUCCUUUAACCAUGCAAGGUGAGUGGGCCAUCUCCUCCUUGAUUACCUGCAUGCAGGUUAAUGCGGUGUACAGGCAACAGAAGGGCGUGGUGAUCUCCAACGUCAAAUUAAUUGGCUGCCUCAUUAAGCGGCCAAUUGAUGGAUUACUAACGCCACUUAUCUGA